AUUUAAAUAGCUUAUAAAUUAGAGCGUAAUAUUGAAGAUAUUAAAGAAACAUUUUUGUUUUUAAAUA
rnacentral:tRNA from 1 species